ACAAAGUCCCUUUAAGACAGCUCUUGGCUGGCUUUCUCUCUCUACUUUUGGUCUGCAGGAAAUACACAGAUGUUCUUUGCCUGCACAUACUCUAGUGUGGGCAUUUUCUCACCAGCCUUCUCUCCUUGCCACCACUGAUGUGUUCUGCAAGCCACAGUUCUUCACUUGAAUGUUUUCCAGUCUGAUUCAGAGACCAGUUACUCAGGUCAUGCAAACUGCAGCAGACAAAUGUCGAGUACCCAGACCAGUGGUCUCCUCAAAGCUCUUUUCAUGAGACUUGAGCACAUCUCAUCUCAGACCAGCCACAUAUCAUGCGUUCCAUAUUGAUCAGCCCAGCUGUAAAGGGAUGUUUCAGUCCUGGUGAACCUAUAACAUAUGGACUCUUAAUAAGAUCACUAAGGAAGCAGUUCUAGGGACAUUCUCUUAUACUCUCUUAUAUACCUGCUACUGUCACACAGAGCAAGGAAGCAUGGACAACAUAUUGGAUAGCAGGAUCUGGAUUUUAUACAACAUAUCUUGACAGCUUGAAAUGAUAGACUAAAGCCAAAUUGGUCAGCAAGAGGAUGGAAGGAAAGAGAAGCAGAAUUCCUACUAAGCCUGCAAACAGGAAAACCAGGGCUCGACUAAUCUAAAAUUGACCACAGAUGAUUUGAUAAAGGCAGUGGCUCAGGCCUCUCCUUCUGCCUCUCCCUGGGUAAGUAAACUUGGUCCCCAGCUCUUCUCCCUCUCUGCUCUCUCAGCCUUACCAGCCAUCUCUCCUCUCACCACCUGUUUCAGUCUAGGCUGCCCACAGCCUCUCCUGCCUCCAUUUACCACUACUCAAAAGGGGACUCCACUGUCUCCUCAAACCGAAACUGAACUUACUGUAUUCCCUCUCCUCAACGUACCCCCUGCUGGCCCAUAUUUCCUGUUAGCAGGGCAGGACCAGGCAGGUGGCUGAAGUUCCAGAGGUCAGGAGAAAAGGGAGAAUGCCUCUUGGCUACAGUUGUGUAUGUAGAGCUGCAGAGUGGCUAUAAAAAUGAUGUUUCAGAGAGAAUAUUGCAAGUUAAGGCAGAGCAGUGUAUCCAAUCAGUAAGGGAGCCUAGAGGAACUGGGAGCUGUCAGUCCGAGUGAAUGGGAGGUAGUGGUGAUAAAUGUGGGUGACAAGGCAUGUGGGUACUCUUGGUGCUUGUGCAUGCAAAAGCAAAUAGAGGGCAGACAUCGCCCAACUUUUCAAUAGGGAAUCAUUUGAUUUCUCUGUCCACACUUAUAACCUAUUGAUCUUUUCUUGCACAAAUAUUUCAGAUUCAUCCAGUCCUCCAUAAUCUCCGGCUACAGCAGUAGUCCACACCCUCAACCCUUCUUGCUUUGAAUUAUUCUUCUGCCCCCGUCUUCCUGCCCCAGCUACUUCUCUUUUUGAAAUUUAAGGCACGAGGUCAUCAGAUUAAUUUUUCAACAAUCCUCAUUUCACCACAUCAUUUUCUCACUGAAAAUUCUGCUAAAUUCCUGCUACUUUAGAUAAAGUUUGCACUCAGUAUAAAAGUCAAGGUUUCUCAUACUAUGCUGAAGGGAGUGGGGCUGACAUGCGCUAAGUCUGGGAAGUCUGUUGAGCCCUCACCCAGCGGUGCUCCUGCCUCUUCAUUGAGGUUGAAGAAGAUUCUAUUCCUGAGCAAUCGGAAGACUAGGGAGGACUGAGAAGUCCCUUUCAACUCCACUGCCUCUUGUACUUAAAUAAGAUUGUAGGUGCUCCAGAGAUGGAACCCUGGGUAGUUCCAAUUCACGGAAGAUAAACCAACAGGAGACGAGGAGCAGAAGUAAGAAGCAUUCCCCUAUCUGUACAACAGUGAGACAUCACAGUCCCAGCAGAGCCUCAGUUCCCCAUUCUUACAAGAACUGGGGACAGGAUGGAUAGGCAAGUCAGCAUUCUCCAUUACCUGCACACUGUGGCAUUUCUAGGGAAAGAAGCAAUGGAACAAAGAAGUAGUCAAAAUUGCUCCCUCCUAAUGAUGAAAGAAGGAAGCAGAUGAUCUUUCCCCCAAGAAGUCCCAGUAGCCCAUUCAGAACAAACCAGACCCAGCCAGAGCCAGUGAGCACGAAGGUAUGGCCCGAUAGUCUAUAUGCUUUUACCCUAAUUGGAUUCAAAAGUCAAUUAAGUAGGCUUAGCUGCCAAGAUCAGUAAUCUAGGCCAGUUCAUCCCUUAAAACUCUAGUAAAACCUGCUUGGAUCUGAAGCCCAGGCCACUCCAGCAUCCUAGGCAAGCAGGUGGAAUCUCAUCAUAUAAUGGCCCAAUCAUCCUCACCAGGCCAAGCCAGCAUAUACCCUUUGGCUGCAUCCAUCUGGGAAGAGUUGUGGUUAAGAAACUCCGUUUGCUCCAUGUUGAUUAAACAUCUAUUAUGCACCAAGUAUGUUAAAUGCUGGAGAUACAACAGUAUUGUGACCCUGAGUUGAUGACACUUACAGAAUAUAGAAUAGACAGAAAAAUAAUCACACAAACUAAUAUAAAUUUGCAAGCAUGACAAAAGCUUCAAGGGAGAAGGACAAAAGUCUUUGAGGUUCUACAAGGGCGAUUUCCCAUGGAAACAAUGCUUGAGCUAAGAUCUAGAAACUGAGUAUGAGUUAACUAGGUGAAAAGGAGAGAAGAAUACCCUAAGCAGGUAACAGCACAUAUACCCUGUGGCUAGUAGGACUGAGAAAGCCAGCAUGCCUGGAGAGAGGAGAGUGAGAGGGUGCCCCGUGAGAGGUGAGGCUGGGAGGUGGAGAGGGGCCAAACCAGUAUAAGCAAUGGAGGAGUUUUGUUUUUAUUCAAUAGGAAAUGGGAAGCUAUUUAAUAGUUUUAAGCAGAAGGAUGUCACAGACAUAUUUACAUGGUGAAGAGAUCACUUUGUCUGCAACAAGGAAGCCUGACAGGAGGAGGUGGUGCAAGUGGAUGGGGAAGAACCUGUGAGUCAGCAACUGCAAAUCCAAGCAGAAAACAAUGGUUACUUCUGACCAUCACUAGGCUGACAGUGGUUUCGAUGGAGAUAGUGACCAUAUUUGAGUGGCAGCUGGAUAAAAAAUGACAGAAUUCAGUGAUGAUCAGAUCUGGAGACAUGAGAUUGAAGAGAUAGUUCAGAAAGACUCCUAAAUUUCUGGGUUGCAGAAUGCGAUUGAUGGAGGUGUUGGUCCCUGAGAAAGACAAAGUGAGAGGAAAGCCAUGUUUCUAGGGUUGGGGAUAGUGGGGUAGGUAGAGCAAGAGUUUAUCUGUGUUGAUGCAGGGGAGGUCAUGUGGUAGGCAGCCUCUAAAAAAAUUCCCAGUGAGCUCUGACUCGGGUGUUUGCAUCCUUAUAUAGUCCCUCUACCCUGUGUGUGGCUGGGCUUACUGUUUGCUUCAAAUGAAUAGGAAAAAGGCAAAAGUGAUGGAAGGUCACCUCUGAGAUUAGGUUAUAAAAAGACUGUGAUUUCCAUUCUCCCAUCCCAUUUCUUUUUUCUCUGUCUCUCUCUGAAUCCUCACUCUGGGGAAGUAAUCUGCAACACUUCCAGCAGCCCUGGGAAGAGGCCCCAUGGUAAGGAACUGAUGUCCACAAACAACAAGGAGCACAGACCUGAGACCCACCAUCAGCCACGAGUGGGCUUCCAAGUGGGCUGUCCUUCAUUUGAGCCUGGGUGACUGCAGCCCUGGCUGACACCUGAUAGCAGCCUCCUGAGAGACUCUGGGCCCAGAGAUCUUGCUAGGCCACACCUGGGUUUCGGCCCCACAGAAACUGUGCAGUAAUAAAGCCACUGUACAUCACUGAUGGACUGACUGUACAACAGGAGCAAGUGAAAACAAAAUGCAGCUCCGCAGACACAAACAGCCCCCUUCUUCCUGCAGUGUCCCUCCAGCGCCCUCUACUGACAAAGCUUAGUAUCGUGCUUCUGUUAAGGAGAAAUAACAGGCCAGUCUAUUAUCACAGAGCGGGUACUGUAGGGUAAACUGAAGCUGAGAGGUAAAUUCUACAAUUUAGAUCUGUGAGUCAAAGGGUAAAUUAGUAUCUUGUUUGUUAUAUUUUGAUGAAUUUAUUUCCAUCAGAGGUUCUUCAUUUCUACCAACACACGAGAGUACCCUGUUAUCUUAGAACCACAUCUACAAAGUGUGUUGCCAAACUUUUUAAUUUUUGUCAAUGCAAUUGUGAAAUAUUUUCUCAUUAUCAUUUUAAUUCAUGUUAUUUUACUAUUAGUAAAUUUUAACACCUUUUCAUAUGUUGAAUCAUUUCUACCUUUUUUUGGUAAAUUCUUCAUGUCUUUUGUUCAUUUUUCUACAAGGUUAUAAGUUCUUAAUUAUAUUAGAACAGAACAAAUAUCAGGUUAGCUACAACUGCAAAUUACUUAUGAAGAAACAGUUUUGUAGGGCUUUUGUUAUUGUUUUCCCUUAGAGCCAAAGUUCUCAUCUAAGUUUAGUUUACUUCAAUAUUUACUGAGUCCUCCCUGUGGGCCAAGCACCAGAGAUAGAGUGAGACAUGGUCCUUGCUUUUAAGGUGCUUACAUUUCAGUGGGAAAACAGAUGUGUGAAGUUAUUUGGGAGAGAGCAGAACAGAGCAAUUCAAAUAUGGAUUAGAAAGUAUGUGGGCUUGUGUUCAAAUUCUGACAUUGCCAUUUGAACAACUAGUUGGACUGAGUCAGUGGAUUGGGUCAGUCUGUCUUUCUGCCUCAAUUUAAGAUAGAAAAUAAUAACAAGUAACUCAGACAGUUACUAAAAUAACUACAUUAGUUGUUAUAUGAAAGCAAGUAACAUACUGCAUGUUACAUAAUAAACAUACAAUAAUGGUAGUUAGUAACCAAUACAAAUGAUUAUAAUAAUAGUAACAAGUGAUAAAAGAAUUUCAGAAUGUUAUGGUAGUAUAUAUAUAUACUCAUUAAAUUUUAGUUGAAUUUAGAAAAGUAUUAUGACUGAGUCAUUAAAAAUGUUUAAACCAUAUACAGUAUAUUUGGUUUAAUGAGAGAAUCUGUUAUAAUUUUUCAUAUAAAUUUUUUAAGUAUUGAUGAAAUAAAAGUAAAUGGUUAAGAAAUAGUAAAAUCACAAAUAUAGAGACAACAAAUCUGGUAUUUUGAGUCAUUAAUUAUAUAAAUAAGCUAUUAAUGUAAAGUGCAAGAUGGUAGAAUUCAGACAUUAUUGUCAUCCACUGAUUGAUUGUUUUAAAGACUUAAAGCAGGGAAUUAAAGUUUACUUAAUUGAUUAUUUCAGUCUUUGUAUCACUUAAUAUAUACUGUGAAAUAAAAGAUGA